rnacentral:misc_RNA from 1 species
UUGAUUCAUUUGAUAUGAUUCCACUCAGACAUGCCAUUACAACACAAGAGUUUAAAGGGUUCCCCGGCGGGCGCCUGGUUCCGGUGCGUCGGUCCCUCGCAGGACCUCCGCCCGGGGCGAAACGAUACCCGCCGAAGCAACGAGUUGGUAGUGGUUCACAGGGGAUGUGGGAGUUGUAAACUCGGUAAUGAUCCCUCCGCUGGUUCACCAACGGAGA